rnacentral:rRNA from 1 species
CGGUGGAGCAUGUGGUUUAAUUCGAAGCAACGCGAAGAACCUUACCAGGUCUUGACAUCCCUGACAACCCGAGAGAUCGGGCGUUCCCCUUCGGGGGACAGGGUGACAGGUGGUGCAUGGUUGUCGUCAGCUCGUGUCGUGAGAUGUUGGGUUAAGUCCCGCAACGAGCGCAACCCUCGACCUUAGUUGCCAGCAUUCAGUUGGGCACUCUAAGGUGACUGCCGGCUAAAAGUCGGAGGAAGGUGGGGAUGACGUCAAAUCAUCAUGCCCCUUAUGACCUGGGCUACACACGUGCUACAAUGGGCGGUACAAAGGGUCGCGAACCCGCGAGGGGGAGCCAAUCCCAAAAAGCCGCUCUCAGUUCGGAUUGCAGGCUGCAAUUCGCCUGCAUGAAGUCGGAAUCGCUAGUAAUCGCAGGUCAGCAUACUGCGGUGAAUACGUUCCCGGGCCUU